rnacentral:lncRNA from 1 species
CCUGCAUGUAAAAUACCCCCUCCUUUGCUAUGGACAGCAUGAAGGAAACAAAGUGACUGACCACACAUUUUCAGAAUGAGUGUUUUGAUGGAUGAUCUUCCUAUGGAAAACAAUGUGCCAGAAAAUGCAGGUGUUCUGGACGCUUGGCCAGCGAGUUUCUUUUUGACCUGAAUUUGUGUCAUUUAAAUAGUCACCUUUUUGCCUUCCUUCUGCUUCUUCCUUGCAUUUUCAUCCCCCAUGACCAUAUUCCAUUUGGCUAUUAGAGAUCCUGUUGCAGUGAGCGGAGCUCUCAUUUCAUCUGUAUUCACUUCAACAGCUUUGGUUCUACGUAUUUUCAAUUCUGUACAUUUCAGACCACUUAGCAUGCCCUUAUGUCCAUAUUUCAUAUAUAAGCUCGAGAUUCACAUGUGGAAGCUAAUGUCAGUUACACCUUUUGUAAGAUUUUUUACUUUUUUGCUAACCAAGCCUGCUCUAAAAAAAUAAAUUCUGUGGCAGUUCAAUGCUAUUGAAUGGACUACCUGAAGGAAAAUGCCUGGGUUAAGAAAGUAAGUACUUUUAUCAACCUGUAAUUUACAUAGCUGUUAAUUAUUAACAUAGUUAAUACAAUCCCUCUAAGCCAAACAUUGUGAAUUUGAACAUGGAUAUAAAAUUUUCCAAGACCAGUAGCCAUCUGCUGACUAAUGCUGGAGGGAUCAGAAGGCAUUAUCUACUGUAGGAUUUGUACUCUGAUCCUUUUCUGGGUUUCUACUAAUGUAGUGGCUCUGCUGCUCACAGAUACAUCUCAGUAUUUAUUCAUUUUGCAUGGACAUUUUGCCAGAAUGUAAUCCAGCUUCACCCCUGAUAAACAGGAUCAGGUACACUGAGUUUCUUAUUGUGUACAUUUUGUUCAGAACUUCUCAAAGCCUACUGCAUUUUACACUUACAUUGCUGUUUCUUAGCUUCUGUACAAAGGAGUGCUUUUGAUAUCAUUAUGCAUACUUACUGCAUGCUUUCCAGAUACUUUACAGUAAGCAAGCAAUGGUAGAAGAUGGUUUCUCUUAGAAAUUUUCUCAUGCUGAAAGUAUUUCCCCCACUAAAUAACAACAGCCUUUUAUUGUUAUUACACACAGUUCCAAAACCUGAACAGUUCCUUUCCUAAAGCCAUGCCAAAGGUGUGAGAUCUCUGCCUUAAGUGCAAAACAAAACUUUGCCAGCUAUACAUGAAUACUAACAAUUUUACCUACCUGUCAGAAAUUGUGAUGGCCAAAUCUGAAGUAGGUGGCUAUUUCUACUCUUUUACAGUGCUCCUCAGCGCAGUCACUGAAGCCUGGUAAUACAUGACAGGAUUAUGAAUGGGCUACUAACAAUUUCACUUGAAAAUGUUUGAACAGAACUCCCACUUAAUCCAAGUGCAGCUGUAGUAUAAGUUUUGGUUUUGUUUUUUCUUAGUAUAGCAGUAAGAAGCUUGUAUUCCCUGUAUUCUUAAUUGAUUUAAGCUCUUCUGAGAAGCUCACUAAAUGAACAUAAAUAGGAAAGUUUGGCUCAAAAUAUGAUUCAGCAUUUUAGUUACAAUCCAGUCUCUUGUUAUUUAAAAUUUACACACAAAAUGUGUAAUUAGUGUGUGAAUGGUUUCUGUAUUUGCUUCAUAAAUGUAUAUCUAGAUUGGAUGCAUCAGAAAAUUGCACAUAUGGGUGCCAUAAUGUCUAGAGGAUUUUGCAAAGUGCAGUGAAGACUCGUAGGUCCAAAUAAAAUAUCCUUACUUAAACUUUUGGGGUAAUACAGAGCUCUAGACAGUCAUCCGAAAAUAUUUAGCCAAAAGAGAUGGAGUUUGCAGUGCAAGGGGACAAUCUCAGUAACUGCUAUUCAAAAUUCAAUCCAAUGGUAUUAUAAAUGCUAAAGCUGUGCAAGUUGAAUUUUGUACAUGGGAAGUUCCCUUGAGUAAAUGUUUCACUCCUAUAAUACUGAUUAGCCAACAAGGCAAUUCUAUCACUUGAAGGUAAGGUGGUUUAACAUCAGUAUUUCUUUGUUUCAUAAUUCCAUGCUGAACCUCAGAUCCCUAGACUGAGGAUGAAGAUCAGCCCCUGAUGCUUUGAAAGAGAGUGCAACAGUGUUGCUUCCUCCUCUUUGAUGCCCCAAGCUCAGUACUGCA